CCUCAAGUCAGCAUAGCAGUCUAGAGA
rnacentral:piRNA from 1 species